rnacentral:lncRNA from 1 species
AUAUUACGAAUACGUGUGCCAAAUAUCUCGAAAAAAUCAAAAUUACAGCCGCAAUCUUGGAACGCGUUUUUGCUAUCUCUUGAUCGCUACUUUUUCCUCUUAAUUAAUUAAUCUCAUAAUUGUAAUCAAUUAUGUUUUCAGCAACCCAAUCAAAGUUGAUAGUAAUUAAAUAUUUGAUAAUGAUUUUUUGAUUCGAUUUUUGAUUAGCAUUCGAACAACCGGCCCAUGUCUGAUGACGAAUUCAGUAUUAAAAGAUUGCUUGAAGGAUGAUUAUGAAACUGGAAAUUUUGACUUUUGAACAGAGAAGAAGAAAAUUAUUUGUUGCAAUAAAAUAUAAAUAAAUUCCUCGAGGAUUUUAACUAAUGACGAAUUGAAUAGAAUGAUAGAAAAAUAGGGAUGGGGUGUUUGAUUAAUACACAAGGGAAAUAAGCAAAAAAUACCCUAUUCGGUAGUGUGAGAAAUUCAGGUAUUAUCUGAUUGUUUUUAGUUAUAGGCCUUUUUUUUAAUUAUCAACAAUUUAGUAUAAAAAUACCAAUUUUCCGAUUGUUUGUGAAGCAGUUUUUUAAAGUUCAAAUAACUUUUAACAAUGAAAAAAAGUGUUGAUUGUUAAAAGCUUAAGAUUUGAGUUAAAAUUACCAAAACUUUAUCUUUUAAAAUAAAACAAGCUUUAAAAUAGCUGUCGCAAAAAGUUAUAGAUAAAAUUAUACUAUAUUUUUAUUUCUUUCAUAUUUAAAAAGUUGACAGUUUUACACGAAUUUAAACAAACAACAAAGUUAUACUAAAACGGUUAGGUAAAGAGUAGGGAUAAGAUUAAACUAAAACAGCAUUGUCUGUGAAGCCGAUGCCGCACUGCAGGAUGCUAGAUGGUGGCUUGGAGGGUGGAUUUUAAAGGUGGAUCCAAAGUCAGUAUCCAACUGACUGCUAAGGAAUCGUUUGUUUCAUUUGUUACGUUACAUUUGGUUUGUUUUUUAGCAUAUCGUCAUAUUAGAGGUACAACUCACUCACUAAACUUUUCAGAAAGUGGAGAAAAAUCGAUUUAAAGCAAAAAUUGUUUUUCUAAAUUCACCUGACGAAUAUUGGAUUUUUUUCAAUGCAACUGCAAAGAAUAAAUAAAACAGAUAUUUUAGCCAUGUUUCGUCACAUAGUGGGUCUGCUGGGUUCCAAAUUGCCCUUCUUUUAUACACAGCACUUAUUACGCUUUCCUCCAUAGCGAGGCUACCCGGAUGGAUUAUCAAACACGACUGAUAUGGGCGGAUAGACGCCUGGCGGACCACCGGAUGGUUAGAUGGUAGUUGAAGGCCACUGCGGCUACUAUCGUCGUUUUGUUAUUCGUGGUAUAAGUAGCUGGAUGGUCGCCAGGCAGGCAUCUACCAUUCACCAUCCUGCCAAACUUCCUGCAGUGCGGCAUCGGCCUGAGUGUUAAAAAUGAGGCUGAAAUGAAGAUUAGUCUGACCAUGUUCCCAAGAGGGAACUAAAAGUUUAAGCGUUCAAAAAACUGAACUUCAAAAAAUAUUGUAAGUUUCUUCAUCUCCAGUUUUAGAGCCAUUUAUGUUUUAAAAGAUAAAGUUUUGUAAUUUUACCCCAAAUAAUAUUUUAGUGGUAAGCAAAAAAUCGAAAAAAAUUGUAUUUGCAUUUUUUACAUUAAAUUGUUAAUAAUUAAAAAAAAAGAUGCCGAAAUAUCGGUGUCCGGACAAAUAACCCCGAACAAAAAAUCCCCACAAAUUAUCCCUGGACAAAAAUCCCCGGACAAAAAAUCCCCACACAUUUUUUUGGACAAAAUAUUCCCACAAAAAAUCCCCAAGAAAUAUUUGCUGCCGAAUAGUUCUAGAAUUUUCCUAAAACUUUCCCAAAUUUCGAAUUCCAAUUCCAUGCUCAAAACUUCAAAAUGUAUAUGACAAAAGAGUGCGCUUUUUCAAAAAUCGUGGAAGAUAAUGGGGAAUGAGCUAAGGCCCCGUUCUCUUGACAGGCGCUUGACAACACGCGUCAAGCGCCUGUCAUGGGAACGGAGCCUUAGUUCAUUCCCCAUAUCUUCCACGAUUUUUGAAAAAACUCACACUCUUUUGUCAUGUAAAUUUUGAAGUUUUCAGCAUGGAAUUGGAAUUCGAAAUUUGGUAAAAUUUCGGGAAAACUUUUAGAGAACUAGUCGGCAGCAAAUAUUUCUUGGAGAUUUUUUGUCCGGGAUUUUUUGUGGGGAUAUUUUGUCCAAAAAGAUUUGUGGGGAUUAUUUGUCCGGGAUUUUUACUUGGGUAUUUGGCCAGCUCAUCGUCGCGGAAUAAAGGAAAAAUCCCUUAUUCACUUACAAUUAGUAGUUAGUACAUUAUACAAUUUGCUUCUUCUUCUUACUCUUCUUUAGUUAACUGAAAAUUUUGGUUGGUGUGGGACAAACAUAACAAGAUAAACAAUUUUCACGCUAGGGGCAACUGCCCAUCAAUACACAAUCUUCUUUUUCUUCUUUGGUUUAGUAGAAAUUUUGAGUUGGCAUCGGACAAAUACAACAACUAAACUUUUUUUUAACGAUAUUUAACUUUUUCUCUCAAGGACAACUGCCGACCACUACACAAUCUUAUUCUUCUACUUCUUUUUUAUUUUACUGGCAAUUUUGAGUUGGUAUGUGAAAAAUACAACAAAGACACAAACUUUUUUCUUUCCGGGGUAAAUGCCGACCAUUACACAAUCUUAUUCAAUAGGUUUUAUUUAUGUAGACUUGAUAACAACUAAAAAAAUAAUCAGGUACCUGGAUUUGUCAGAGUCUCGAGAUAAAUCUUAUUUCGUCAGCUACAGAUUUAAGACUUGAAUCCACAUUAAUCAAAAUGAUGUCAAGUCUAAGUUGGCAUAAUGACAAUAUCAAUAUUAUACCAUUUUAUCCUAAAUGCUUCGAUGAAACUUUUUUUAACUACUAAAGCUCCAACUCGUGAUAAUUGUAUUCCGUAUCUUCGUCUUCAGCUGUGGACAUUAAACGAGAACGUAUAUACUUCAAAAAUUUUAAAAAUAAAUGUACCAAUUGGUUGUUCUGGACUUUGGCAGCAAUGUAUAUAUAAUUAUAUCAAAUUCCAUCACAACCAUUUCAUCAUUGAAUCAUAUCCGUAACUUGUAAAUGAGAACAUUUUCCUUUUUCCGAAGUAAGUUAGAUGGUGUCAUCAAUUUUUAAAAUGAAAACAUAGACAGUUUCUUAGUAACGAUGUUAAAAUAAGAUAUGCAAAUUAGUAAAGUGUAUUUGAAUCAAAUGUUGUGAAACCUUUAAGACUUUCUUACUAGUCCAGAUGCUAGUUUAACAAGCCCCGGAUAGGUCGGAAGAAUGCGCAUUCGAAACAAAAUGUAUUACAAUUUAAUUCAUGUCAAUCUGUUACAGUAGAAAUAAUUAUUUAAUCGCAACUGUUACGGAACAAAUGUUUUACUUUACCAAAAAUGCAAAAA